UACGAAGGGGGCUAGCGUUGUUCGGAUUUACUGGGCGUAAAGCGCACGUAGGCGGUUUGUUAAGUCAGGGGUGAAAUCCUGGAGCUCAACUCCAGAACUGCCUUUGAUACUGGCAACCUAGAGGCUGGAAGAGGUUAGUGGAAUUCCCAGUGUAGAGGUGAAAUUCGUAGAUAUUGGGAAGAACACCAGUGGCGAAGGCGGCUAACUGGUCCGGAUCUGACGCUGAGGUGCGAAAGCGUGGGGAGCAAACAGG
rnacentral:rRNA from 1 species